AGAGAGAGAGAGAGAGAGAGAGAGAGAGAGAGAGAGAGAGAGAGGGGCAAAUAAAUAUGAGUGUGGAUCUCGGCCUGCAGGGCCUACAGGGCCUUUGGGCAACUGCCAAACCACACUGUGGAGCACGCCUCGAGCCAGUGUGUGUGUGUGUGUGUGGACCCCGGGAGGUGGACCCAGGGAGUGCGUGUGUGGUCUUGGAGCCUCCUCCCCCAUAGAGUUCUCUACCUCUCUCUCUAACACACACUAUGAGGUAGUUCUCCUCCCCCAUAGAGCUUUCUACCUCUCUCUCUAACACACACUAUGAGGUAGUUCUCCUCCCCCAUAGAGUUCUCUACCUCUCUCUCUAACACACACUAUGAGGUAGUUCUCCUCCCCCAUAGAGUUCUCUACCUCUCUCUCUAACACACACUAUGAGGUAGUUCUCCUCCCCCAUAGAGCUCUCUACCUCUCUCUCUAACACACACUAUGAGGUAGUUCUCCUCCCCCAUAGAGCUCUCUACCUCUCUCUCUAACACACACUAAGAGGUAGUUCUCCUACCCCAUAGAGCUCUCUACCUCUCUCUCUAACACACACUAAGAGGUAGUUCUCCUCCCCCAUAGAGCUCUCUACCUCUCUCUCUAACACACACUAUGAGGUAGUUCUCCUCCCCCAUAGAGCUCUCUACCUCUCUCUCUAACACACACUAUGAGGUAGUUCUCCUCCCCCAUAGAGCUCUCUACCUCUCUCUCUAACACACACUAUGAGGUAGUUCUCCUCCCCCAUAGAGUUCUCUACCUCUCUCUCUAACACACACUAUGAGGUAGUUCUCCUCCCCCAUAGAGUUCUCUACCUCUCUCUCUAACACACACUAUGAGGUAGUUCUCCUCCCCCAUAGAGUUCUCUACCUCUCUCUCUAACACACACUAUGAGGUAGUUCUCCUCCCCCAUAGAGCUCUCUACCUCUCUCUCUAACACACACUAUGAGGUAGUUCUCCUCCCCCAUAGAG